GGGCGGGUACCCAAGUGGCCAACGGGGGCAGACUGUAAAUCUGCUGGCAUAAGCCUACGGAGGUUCGAAUCCUUCCCCGCCCA
rnacentral:tRNA from 1 species